rnacentral:tRNA from 1 species
GGAGGGGUGGCAGAGCGGUUUAAUGCGGCGGUCUUGAAAACCGUUGAAGGUUCGCGCCUUCCGGGGGUUCAAAUCCCUCCCCCUCCGCCA